GAGUUUGAUCCUGGCUCAGGACGAACGCUGGCGGCGUGCUUAACACAUGCAAGUCGAACGGGAACCUUUGUUUCGGCAGAGGUGAGAGUGGCAAACGGGUGAGUAACACGUAGGCAACCUGCCGACAGGAUGGGGACAACAUUCCGAAAGGAAUGCUAAUACCGAAUGAAGUCCGAGAGGGGCAUCCCUCCUGGAUGAAAGAUGGCCUCUGAAUAUGCUAUCACCUGUCGAUGGGCCUGCGUCUGAUUAGCCAGUUGGCGGGGUAACGGCCCACCAAAGCGACGAUCAGUAGCCGGUCUGAGAGGAUGAACGGCCACAUUGGGACUGAGACACGGCCCAGACUCCUACGGGAGGCAGCAGUGGGGAAUCUUCCACAAUGGGCGAAAGCCUGAUGGAGCAACGCCGCGUGAGUGAAGAAGGUCUUCGGAUCGUAAAGCUCUGUUGCAGGGGACGAAAACCGGGUUUGAAAACAUUGAGCCUGGGCGACGGUACCUUGCGAGGAAGCCACGGCUAACUACGUGCCAGCAGCCGCGGUAAUACGUAGGUGGCGAGCGUUGUCCGGAAUUAUUGGGCGUAAAGGGAGCGCAGGCGGGCUGCCAAGUCCAUCUUAAAAGUGCGGGGCUCAACCCCGUGAGGGGAUGGAAACUGGCAGUCUUGAGUGCAGGAGAGGAAAGCGGAAUUCCCAGUGUAGCGGUGAAAUGCGUAGAUAUUGGGAGGAACACCAGUGGCGAAGG
rnacentral:rRNA from 1 species